UACGUAGGCAGCGAGCGUUGUUCGGAGUUACUGGGCGUAAAGGGUGUGUAGGCGGUUUUCUAAGUUUGGUGUGAAAUCUCCCGGCUCAACCGGGAGGGUGCGCCGAAAACUGGGAGACUAGAGUGCGGGAUGGGAGAGUAGAAUUCCUGGUGUAGCGGUGAAAUGCGUAGAUAUCGGAAGGAACGCCCGUGGCGAAAGCGAGGUCCUGGACGUCUACUGACGCUGAGACGCGAAAGCUAGGGGAGCAAACGGG
rnacentral:rRNA from 1 species